CAGGGAAUCUUGCGCAAUGGGCGGAAGCCUGACGCAGCGACGCCGCGUGGGGGACGAAGGCCCAUGGGUCGUAAACCCCUUUUGUCGGGAAAGAGGAAGGACGGUACCCGGCGAAUAAGCCUCGGCUAACUACGUGCCAGCAGCCGCGGUAAUACGUAGGAGGCAAGCGUUGUCCGGAUUUACUGGGCGUAAAGGGCGCGUAGGCGGCCGGGCUUGUCCGCUGUGAAAUCUCCCUGCUCAACGGGGAGGGGUCAGCGGAGUACGGUCCGGCUUGAGGCCAGUAGAGGCGGGUGGAAUUCCCGGAGGAGCGGUGAUAUGCGUAGAUUUCGGGAGGAACACCGGAGGCGAAAGCGGCCCGCUGGGCUGGUCCUGACACUGAGGUACGAAAGCGUGGGGAGCAAACAGG
rnacentral:rRNA from 1 species